CGUUGUCCGGAUUUACUGGGCGUAAAGAGCGCGCAGGCGGUCGUUCAAGUCGAGUGUGAAAGCCCCCGGCUCAACUGGGGAGGGUCACUCGAUACUGAUCGACUCGAAGGCAGGAGAGGGAAGUGGAAUUCCCGGUGUAGUGGUGAAAUGCGUAGAUAUCGGGAGGAACACCAGUGGCGAAGGCGACUGCCUGGCCUGUUCGUGACGCUGAGGCGCGAAAGCUAGGGGAGCAAACGGG
rnacentral:rRNA from 1 species